UCAUGACCUACGCGGGCGCGGGUCAAAGUCUAGUAUUGGUUCUUAUCAGCCUAAUAUCCGAUGCGAGUUCGAUUUGGACCUAAGAUAUGAAGCAUAUUUUUGUAAGUUAACGAAGUGCUUAAGCCUGCUCCACCUCCGCUGCGAGUCGGCCCGGUAUUACACAACUUUCGGGAUGGGCCCACGUAUG